CUACGGGCUGCAGCAGUGAGGAAUAUUGCACAAUGGGGGGAACCCUGAUGCAGCAACGCCGCGUGGAGGAUGACGCAUUUCGGUGUGUAAACUCCUUUUAUAUGUCAAGAAAAUGACGGUAGCAUAUGAAUAAGCGCCGGCUAACUCCGUGCCAGCAGCCGCGGUAAUACGGAGGGCGCAAGCGUUACUCGGAAUCACUGGGCGUAAAGGACGCGUAGGCGGGUUGAAAAGUCAGGUGUGAAAGCCUACAGCUUAACUGUAGAACUGCACUUGAAACUCUCAACCUAGAGUAUGGGAGGGGCAGAUGGAAUUAGUGGUGUAGGGGUAAAAUCCGUAGAUAUCACUAGGAAUACCUAAAGCGAAGGCGAUCUGCUGGAACAUAACUGACGCUAAGGCGUGAAAGCGUGGGGAGCAAACAGGAUUAGAUACCCCUGUAGUC
rnacentral:rRNA from 1 species